rnacentral:tRNA from 2 species
GGUCCGUUCGUCUAUCGGUUAGGACGUCAGGUUUUCAACCUGAAAAGACGGGUUCGACUCCCGUACGGACUGCCA